rnacentral:rRNA from 1 species
GACGAACGCUGGCGGCGUGCUUAACACAUGCAAGUCGAACGGAAAGGCCCUGCUUUUGUGGGGUGCUCGAGUGGCGAACGGGUGAGUAACACGUGAGUAACCUGCCCUUGACUUUGGGAUAACUUCAGGAAACUGGGGCUAAUACCGGAUAGGAGCUCCUGCUGCAUGGUGGGGGUUGGAAAGUUUCGGCGGUUGGGGAUGGACUCGCGGCUUAUCAGCUUGUUGGUGGGGUAGUGGCUUACCAAGGCUUUGACGGGUAGCCGGCCUGAGAGGGUGACCGGGGACAUGGGGAGUGGGGUACGGGCGGGGCUGCUACGGGAGGCAGGAGUGGGGAAGGUGGCGCGAUGGGCGGAGGCCGGAGGGAGGGACGCCGGGUGCGGGAGGGCGGGCUUCGGGGGGGAAACGGCUUUCGCCGGGGACGGAGCGGGAGUGACGGUAAUGGGUAAGGAAGCACCGGGUAAGUAGGUG